GCCAGUCUGGCAGUUUGCACUGGCAAUAAAUCACCACUAGACAUUUUAUUUUAAAAUUGGCACUGGCUUGAGGGAGGUAAAGGAUUGUCAAUUUGCUUUUAUUUUGAGGCCAGGCAC
rfam:Bos taurus clone PRN016 His-1 gene, partial sequence.